rnacentral:rRNA from 1 species
UUCGGGGUACUCGAGUGGCGAACGGGUGAGAUAACAUUUGGGGUGAUCUGCCCUGCACUUUGGGAUAAGCCUGGGAAACUGGGUCUAAUACCGAAUAUGACCAUGCACUUCCUGGUGUGUGGUGGAAAGCUUUUGCGGUGUGGGAUGGGCCCGCGGCCUAUCAGCUUGUUGGUGGGGUAAUGGCCUACCAAGGCGACGACGGGUAGCCGGCCUGAGAGGGUGACCGGCCACACUGGGACUGAGAUACGGCCCAGACUCCUACGGGAGGCAGCAGUGGGGAAUAUUGCACAAUGGGCGCAAGCCUGAUGCAGCGACGCCGCGUGAGGGAUGACGGCCUUCGGGUUGUAAACCUCUUUCAGCACAGACGAAGCGCAAGUGACGGUAUGUGCAGAAGAAGGACCGGCCAACUACGUGCCAGCAGCCGCGGUAAUACGUAGGGUCCGAGCGUUGUCCGGAAUUACUGGGCGUAAAGAGCUCGUAGGUGGUUUGUCGCGUUGUUCGUGAAAACUCACAGCUUAACUGUGGGCGUGCGGGCGAUACGGGCAGACUUGAGUACUGCAGGGGAGACUGGAAUUCCUGGUGUAGCGGUGGAAUGCGCAGAUAUCAGGAGGAACACCGGUGGCGAAGGCGGGUCUCUGGGCAGUAACUGACGCUGAGGAGCGAAAGCGUGGGGAGCGAACAGGAUUAGAUACCCUGGUAGUCCACGCCGUAAACGGUGGGUACUAGGUGUGGGUUUCCUUCCUUGGGAUCCGUGCCGUAGCUAACGCAUUAAGUACCCCGCCUGGGGAGUACGGCCGCAAGGCUAAAACUCAAAGAAAUUGACGGGGGGCCCGCACAAGCGGCGGAGCAUGUGGAUUAAUUCGAUGCAACGCGAAGAACCUUACCUGGGGUUUGACAUGCACAGGGACGCUGGUAGAAAUAUCAGUUCCCCUUGUGGCCCUGUGGUGCAAGGUGGGUGCCAUGGCCUGUCCUCAGCUCGUGUCGUGAGAUGUUGGGUUAAGUCCCGCAACGAGCGCAACCCUUGUCCUAUGUUGCCAGCGGGUUAUGCCGGGGACUCGUAGGAGACUGCCGGGGUCAACUCGGAGGAAGGUGGGGAUGACGUCAAGUCAUCAUGCCCCUUAUGUCCAGGGCUUCACACAUGCUACAAUGGCCGGUACAAAGGGCUGCGAUGCCGUGAGGUGGAGCGAAUCCUUGUAAAGCCGGUCUCAGUUCGGAUCGGGGUCUGCAACUCGACCCCGUGAAGUCGGAGUCGCUAGUAAUCGCAGAUCAGCAACGCUGCGGUGAAUACGUUCCCGGGCCUUGUACACACCGCCCGUCACGUCAUGAAAGUCGGUAACACCCGAAGCC